rnacentral:rRNA from 1 species
GAGUUUGAUCUUGGCUCAGAGUGAACGCUGGCGGCAGGCCUAACACAUGCAAGUCGAACGGCAGCACAGAGGAGCUUGCUCCUUGGGUGGCGAGUGGCGGACGGGUGAGGAAUGCAUCGGAAUCUGCCUAUUUGUGGGGGAUAACGUAGGGAAACUUACGCUAAUACCGCAUACGUCCUACGGGAGAAAGUGGGGGACCUUCGGGCCUCACGCAGAUAGAUGAGCCGAUGCCGGAUUAGCUAGUUGGCGGGGUAAAGGCCCACCAAGGCGACGAUCCGUAGCUGGUCUGAGAGGAUGAUCAGCCACACUGGAACUGAGACACGGUCCAGACUCCUACGGGAGGCAGCAGUGGGGAAUAUUGGACAAUGGGCGCAAGCCUGAUCCAGCCAUGCCGCGUGUGUGAAGAAGGCCUUCGGUUGUAAG